rnacentral:rRNA from 1 species
UACGUAGGUGGCAAGCGUUGUCCGGAUUUACUGGGCGUAAAGAGCGCUCAGGCGGUCGAUUUAGUCGCGUGUGAAAGCCCCCGGCUCAACUGGGGAGGGUCACGCGAUACUGAUCGACUCGAAGGCAGGAGAGGGUAGUGGAAUUCCCGGUGUAGUGGUGAAAUGCGUAGAUAUCGGGAGGAACACCAGUGGCGAAGGCGACUACCUGGCCUGUUCUUGACGCUGAGGCGCGAAAGCUAGGGGAGCAAACGGG